UUUAGCUGCAGCUUAUAAAAGUGUACAAAUGUAAAGUUGAUUGCAUUGUGUUAUAAAACUAUUUUGAGAUAAAAAAAAAAAAACAAAACAAAA
rnacentral:ribozyme from 1 species